rnacentral:rRNA from 1 species
UACGUAGGCAGCAAGCGUUGUUCGGAGUUACUGGGCGUAAAGGGUGCGUAGGUGGCUCUAUAAGUAUGGUGUGAAAUCUCCCGGCUUAACUGGGAGGGUGCGCCGUAGACUGUGGGGCUAGAGUGUGGGAGAGGAAAGUGGAAUUCCUGGUGUAGCGGUGAAAUGCGUAGAUAUCAGGAGGAACACCGGCGGUGUAAACGGCUUUCUGGAC